ACUCCUACGGGAGGCAGCAGUGGGGAAUAUUGGACAAUGGGGGCAACCCUGAUGCAGCCAUGCCGCGUGAAUGAAGAAGGCCUUCGGGUUGUAAAGUUCUUUCGGUAGCGAGGAAGGUGGUAAUGUUAAUAGCAUUAUCAAUUGACGUUAACUACAGAAGAAGCACCGGCUAACUCCGUGCCAGCAGCCGCGGUAAU
rnacentral:rRNA from 1 species